UACGUAGGAGGCGAGCGUUGUCCGGAGUUACUGGGCGUAAAGGGUGCGUAGGCGGCCGCGCGCGUGGCGGGUGAAAUCUCUCGGCUUACCCGGGAGGGUGCUUGCCAGACGGCGCGGCUUGAGGGACGGAGAGGGGCGUGGAAUUCCGGGUGGAGCGGUGAAAUGCGUAGAGAUCCGGAGGAACACCGACGGCGUAGGCAGCGCCCUGGCCGUUACCUGACGCUGAUGCACGAAAGCUGGGGGAGCGAACAGG
rnacentral:rRNA from 1 species